AUUGAACGCUGGCGGCAUGCCUUACACAUGCAAGUCGAACGGCAGCGGGGGAGAAGCUUGCUUUUCCUGCCGGCGAGUGGCGAACGGGUGAGUAAUACAUCGGAACGUGCCCUGUAGUGGGGGAUAACUAGUCGAAAGAUUAGCUAAUACCGCAUACGACCUGAGGGUGAAAGUGGGGGACCGCAAGGCCUCAUGCUAUAGGAGCGGCCGAUGUCUGAUUAGCUAGUUGGUGGGGUAAAGGCCUACCAAGGCGACGAUCAGUAGCUGGUCUGAGAGGACGAUCAGCCAACCUGGGACUAAGACACGGCCCAGACUCCUACGGGAGGCAGCAGUGGGGAAUUUUGGACAAUGGGCAAAGCCUGAUCCAGCAAUGCCGCGUGUGUGAAGAAGGCCUUCGGGUUGUAAAGCACUUUUGUCCGGAAAGAAAUGGCUCUGGUUAAUACCUGGGGUCGAUGACGGUACCGGAAGAAUAAGGACCGGCUAACUACGUGCCAGCCGCCGCGGUAA
rnacentral:rRNA from 1 species